rnacentral:rRNA from 1 species
UACGUAGGGGGCAAGCGUUGUCCGGAGUUACUGGGCGUAAAGGGCACGCAGGCGGUUGUGUCAGUUUGCGGGGACAGUGGGUGGCUUAACUGCCCAAGGGUCGCAAAGACGGCACGACUGGAGAGCGAGAGAGGGACCUGGAACUCCGGGUGGAGCGGUGAAAUGCGUAGAGAUCCGGAAGAACACCACUGGCGCAGGCAAGGUCCUGGCUCGUAUCUGACGCUGAGGUGCGAAAGCUAGGGGAGCGAACGGG